UACGUAGGGUGCAAGCGUUGUCCGGAAUUAUUGGGCGUAAAGAGCUCGUAGGCGGUCUGUCGCGUCUGCUGUGAAAACUCGGGGCUUAACCCCGGGCCUGCAGUGGGUACGGGCAGACUAGAGUGCGGUAGGGGAGACUGGAAUUCCUGGUGUAGCGGUGAAAUGCGCAGAUAUCAGGAGGAACACCGGUGGCGAAGGCGGGUCUCUGGGCAGUAACUGACGCUGAGGAGCGAAAGCGUGGGUAGCAAACAGG
rnacentral:rRNA from 1 species